GGGCUUGACCGGUUUUGACAGCGGGCAGAAGUGGUUUGUAAGCAUGCAGUGUGUCGUUGUCCGACACUUUAAUCACGGAUGAUAAAAAUUAAUUGGCGAAAAUUCUUACGCUCUCGCUGCUUAAUCGAAGUAUAGUAGAUUUCAAGCUUUAUUCCGGCUCAAGGAGUUGGAACGAGACAUUACCCGGAGCUCUGGCUUCGAAGCUAACCGACCAAGGUAGUGCAGUAAUAUCGGAGAUAGUCUGAAAAAAGUCCUGUGUUUCAGAUGAAAUUAAGGGAAUAAGCCCGGCAUUGGUGGCCUUAGUCUUGUGCCGGGUCGAAAAAUAAAGUAAGGAUAAGCAUGUAGAAAGCAGGUUAAUUCCUCGUUUGGACGAGGGUUCGAAUCCCUCCAGGUCCAC
rnacentral:tmRNA from 1 species